GUGCCAGCCGCCGCGGUAAUACCGGCAGCCCAAGUGAUGGCCGCUGUUAUUGGGCCUAAAGCGUCCGUAGCUGGCCGCACAAGUCCGUCGGGAAAUCCGCCUGCCCAACAGGUGGGCGUCCGGCGGAAACUGUGUGGCUUGGAACCGGAAGGCUCAGAGGGUACGUCCGGGGUAGGAGUGAAAUCCCGUAAUCCCGGACGGACCACCGAUGGCGAAAGCACUCUGAGAAGACGGCUUCGACAGUGAGGGACGAAAGCUCGGGUCUCAAACCGGAUUAGAUACCCUAGUAGUCC
rnacentral:rRNA from 1 species